AUUUGUCUGGUUAAUUCCGAUAACGAACGAGACCUUAACCUGCUAACUAGAUUCUUUUAUUUUAUAACUGAUAUCUUCUUAGAGGGACUAUGUAAUUUAAAUACAUGGAAGUUUGAGGCAAUAACAGGUCAGUGAUGCCCUUAUAUGUCCUGGGCUGCACGCGUGCUACACUGAUGUAUACAACAAGUGCCUAACCAGACAUGGUAUGGCAAUCUCGAAUAUGCAUCGUGAUAGGGAUAGAUCUUUGCAAUUAUAGAUCUUGAACGAGGAAUUCCUAGUAAGUGCAAGUCAUCAUCUUGCAUUGACUAUGUCCCUGCCCUUUGUACACACCGCCCGUCGCUCCUACCGAUACCGGGUGAUCCGGUGAACCUUUUGGACCUGUAAGGGGAAGAUAAGUAAACCAUAUCACCUAGAGGAAGGAGAAGUCGUAACAAGGUUUCCGUAGGUGAACCUGCRGAAGGAUCA
rnacentral:rRNA from 1 species